GUGCUCAUAGCAGCAGCAAAUGUGCCAAAACGGAAAAUAGACAGGAGAUUAGCAUGGUCCCUGUGCAGGGAUGACGUGAUAAUUCACAAAGCAAUCUAUCUCUUC